CAAGUAAGAUGACUAAAAGAAAAUACUUUUAAAAGAAAAGUCAAAAUACUAACACAAGGGAAUGUAUAAAAUUGUUCUUUAAAUGGAUUCAAAUUCUAUAAAUGCCCUUUAGCUAAUUUCAUAUAAAGAAAGUAAGACUGGAGACAUGAGCAUUAGAAUUGCGCAUGUGCACACACACACGUGCAGAGUCUCCUGCAUUUGUCACAGUUGAUUCAAGCAGCUUGUCAUCUGAACAGACUGCUUUCUUAAACUCACCCAUCAGUAAUCUAAUGCAAGAAGAGGUAAAAGAACCUGCCCCAGUGAGAAUCUAUGCCCUUGAACUGAUUUAACUUAUUUUCAAG
rnacentral:lncRNA from 1 species